AAGUCGUAACAAGGUUUCCGUAGGUGAACCUGCGGAAGGAUCUUGAGUUGGUCCCCUAGUGGGGCUGACACAUUAGCACAAGGCCGCAAGGUCUUGAUGUUUACGCUUGUAUGUUUGACAGAGUUAAAUUGUGACCUUAAAAAUGACAACUUUUAACAACGGAUCUCUUGGCUCUU
rnacentral:misc_RNA from 1 species